rnacentral:rRNA from 2 species
UAGACCGCCUGGGGAGUACGGCCGCAAGGUUAAAACUCAAAUGAAUUGACGGGGGCCCGCACAAGCGGUGGAGCAUGUGGUUUAAUUCGAUGCAACGCGAAGAACCUUACCUGGUCUUGACAUCCACGGAAAUUUUCAGAGAUGAGAAUGUGCCUUCGGGAACCGUGAGACAGGUGCUGCAUGGCUGUCGUCAGCUCGUGUUGUGAAAUGUUGGGUUAAGUCCCGCAACGAGCGCAACCCUUAUCCUUUGUUGCCAGCGAUUAGGUCGGGAACUCAAAGGAGACUGCCAGUGAUAAACUGGAGGAAGGUGGGGAUGACGUCAAGUCAUCAUGGCCCUUACGACCAGGGCUACACACGUGCUACAAUGGCGCAUACAAAGAGAAGCGACCUCGCGAGAGCAAGCGGACCUCAUAAAGUGCGUCGUAGUCCGGAUUGGAGUCUGCAACUCGACUCCAUGAAGUCGGAAUCGCUAGUAAUCGUGGAUCAGAAUGCCACGGUGAAUACGUUCCCGGGCCUUGUACACACCGCCCGUCACACCAUGGGAGUGGGUUGCAAAAGAAGUAGGUAGCUUAACCUUCGGGAGGGCGCUUACCACUUUGUGAUUCAUGACUGGGGUGAAGUCGUAACAAGGUAACCGUAGGGGAACCUGCGGUUGGAUCACCUCCUUACCUUAAAGAA